rnacentral:lncRNA from 1 species
UUUGCUGGUGUUGGGCUUGUUCCUGGGGAUUACCGCGCAUCGCCGCUUGGAGCAGCGCGGGGUCUUGGCGUGGAGGUGCAGGGACGCGAUCUUGGUGCGCCGGCGCUGGGAGCGUGCGAGCACCUUCUUGGGGAUGAGGGAUCUCUUGGCAGCUCCUUUCUUACUGCGCAGGCGCCAGACGCGAAGGGUCUAGCCUUGGGGCUGCGUGCCUUGGAGCCAGGGCGCCUUCUUGGGGAGGAGGUGGUGGAAGCACCUCCUGAUCCUCGCCUCCUGGGCGGAAUGGAGGGCGAGGCAGUGAGAGGGACAGCAAGGGGGAGCCCCUGCGGCGCUGACGAGCUCGGUGAUGCGGGCGAGCCAGUCCUCGUAGAGGUCGUUGAUGGGGCGCUAGUGCAAGAGCUCUCUUGCCAGGAGCAGCACGGCGUGUGCAUCCGUGGGGGCACGACGGGCGUGGGACGACGAGGCGGCUGGAGUUAGCGACGGUGUGGUGGUGCGGCCCUCCUGCCACACCGAAGGAUGCUAGGACGAGGCCUGCUGCUCGUUCCCCAUCGGGCCGGUGGCGGCAUUGGCGGCAGGCGACGGGGAACGACGAGGACGUCCGCCGAUGGGUGCCGUCUUGGCGACGCGGGCAGCGAGAGCAGCCCGACGCUCGGCGUGAGCCCGGUGAGCGUCAGCCAUGGAUACGACGGAAGAUCGCACGCGAACAGCGAAAGAAAGAAAGAUUCCGGCGUACCCCUACCUGGCGUGCCAAAUGUCAGAUUUCGGGUUCCGGUAGACCCUUGAGGUUCAAACACUGGGGUGCGCGCGAAGAUCUCUCCCCUACCGAUCUAGUCCAAUCUCCUCGCAUGAUCUAAACUGGAAACAACGAGCAACAUAAGGGACACGAGGUUUAUACUGGUUCGGGCCACCAUCGUGGUGUAAUACCCUACUCCAGUGUGUGGUGUGGUGGAUUGCCUCAGGGGCUGAUGAUGAACAGUACAAGGGAAGAACAGCCUCGCGAGAGGUGUUCUUGAGCUGAUGCGAUGAACUGCUUUGGUGAGUUCAGUCGCCUUUCUCUCUCUCUCUGCUAGAGCUCUACCAGAUCUCUAGAUGUCUAGGUGUGUCCCUCUCCAUGUCCCCCCUCCACUCUGUGGUGGCUAGCUCUAUUUAUAGAGGCCCUGGGCCUCUCCCCAAAUAAUGAGCAGGAAGGGCGCCAACAAUUGGUCGUUUUGAAGGGGAACAUCUAGUACAAGUUAUCCUGACCAAAGGUGGUCUUCGGCUGCCAAAAGCACUGGUGAUGACGCCGUCUUGGGCUCCACGGUGACCUCUGUCCUGCCGCUCUGUUGGUCUUGGUCUCGUUGCACCGGAAUGGUAAUCUUUGCCCGAUGCCUUGGCCUGUGCUUGCCCCUUUGCACCAAAGGGGAAAUAAGGACACUGCGCAGGCCGGCGCCCGCCUAGUCUCGAUCGUCAUGGCUUGCGUCACGGGCUCCUCGUGAGGUACCCCUGCCUUGAUCUCUCUGCCUCCUCGCGAGCCUGCCUGAUGAGGCUACCUCUGAGGAAGUUUUCUGUUGUCCGCCCCGCGAGGCUUGGCCCCUCGCGAGGGUCUUGAGCUUGAGCUGAUGAAAACAGGCCGCGAUGGGCCCCCACUUGAGCCAUGCCACAGACCACAGGAAGGCAAGUCUGGGGACCCCCGUUCCCAGAACACCGACAAACGUGUCAAGAAAACCGCCUCGCGAUAUGUGCGGUGCUGGUUGAGAAAAACGGUUUGAAUAAUGACCGGGCCGUGGUGUAAUGUCAUGCUGUCAAAACAUAUCAUCAGAUUAGAUUUGUGGAAAUAUUAUUCUCUCUAUAGUGGUAUGUGGAACUUAUUUUUCAGGGCCGGACACUAUUCUUGUGUUUAAACUCUUCCAUGGAGUAUUCGAAGGAGGAACCCACCUUGCAAUGCCGAAGACAAUACUGCGCGUCGGACUCAUCAUCAUUGAAGCCUGGUUCAGGGGCUACUGAGGGAGUCCUAGAUUAGGGGGUCUCCGGACAGUCGAACUAUAUCCUUUGGCUGGACUGUUGGACUAUGAAGAUACAAGAUUGAAGACUUCGUCCCGUGUCCGGAUGGAACUCUACUUGGCGUGGAAGGCAAGCUAAGCAAUACGGAUAUGUAUAUCUCAUCCCUUGUAACCGACCUUGUGUAACCCUAACCCCCUCCGGUGUCUAUAUAAACCGGAGGAUUUUAGUCUGUAGGACAACAGACAAUCAUACCAUAGGCUAGCUUCAAGGGUUUAGCCUCUCUGAUCUCGUGGUAGAUCAACUCUUGUAAUACUCAUAUCAUUAAGAACAAUCAAGCAGGAUGUAGGGUAUUACCUCCAUCAAGAGGGCCCGAACCUGGGUAAACAUCGUGUCCCCUACCUCCUGUUAUCAUCCUCCCUAGACGCACAGUUCGGGACCCCCUACCCGGGAUCCACCGAUUUUGACACUGACACGGGGGCGCGUCAGCGCACCCACUGGGUGUAGCCCCCGAGAUUCGGGCCGACCGACUAGUUUGUCUUCUUCUUCGCUGGGACGCGUCAGCGCACUUGCUGGGUGUAGCCCCCGAGAUUCGGGCCGGCUGCUGAGCAGUCGGGCCGGAUCUCCCGGCGACUAGUUUGUCUUCUUUCUUCUUCUCUUUGUCCGGUUGUUGAUAGCCGGACGUAAAAAAAAUUCUCGUCAGCCAGACGUAUAGGCUACUCUCUCUCUAUUUAUUUCUCAUAGUCGGCCUCUCUCUCUCUAUUUGGACAGCCGGCAGCUCUUUUUCAUCCGGCCCCAUUUCUUCUCUUUUUUUCAGCAAGCCGGUGACAGGUAGUCGGCCGUUGACUUGGACAGCCGGCCUCUUAUUCUUCCUUACUUUUCAGCCGGCCUCUGUUUUUCUCUUCGGGCACUCAGUCGUAGCAGGCGGCUAGACCUGGAGCGCAGCAGCCGGCGGCAGGGGAGGCCGAGCCUGGUGGUGGGCGGGGCCGGCCGUCCGGGUGCGGAGGCGGCAGUGCACGGCGGGGCGUAGGGCUGCAGCCGCAGGGGCCGGGAUGCGGGAGGCCAACAUGGCAGGGGCAGGAACCCAGCAUGGGGAUGGCGGGGGAGCCCGCGCGGAGCUGGACUGGCGCGGCCGGUGCGCGCGGACCCGGCAGGGUCGAGGCGGAUGCGAUGGAGCCGACAGGCGCGCGGGGCCGGAGCCGCCGCCGCAGCCGGCCGGCCGGCCUGCGAGCAGAGGGGCGGACGCGGCGAAGCGGCACGAAGCCGGUAGGCGUUGCGGAGCGUGGAACUGGAGCGGGGAACAGUCGGGCACGACCGAGCCGUGGGAGGCCGACCGCGAGGGCCGGAGCCGCAAGGCGGGGCAGCGGUGGCGGACGCGCACGAGUGGCCGGAAGGGGCCAGAGGCGCGAGGCAACGCAGGCAGCCCGCCGGCCCACCGAAGCGACUGGCUGCAGCCGGGCGCGCGUGAGGUGGACCCAGGCGGCGACGGCGUAGAGGGCGGGGGCGCCGGCGACCGGCGGCCGGGUGCAGCAGGAGGCGGCCGGGCUCAGCGGCGAGGCGGAGCCGGACGGGGCUGUGCGGGAGGCUGGGUGGAGCCACGAGCCGGCGGGUGCAGGAGUCGGUCGGCGCAAGGAGGCGGCCAUGGUCGGACGCGGAGGCGGCCACAGGCGGAGGCGGAGCCGGCGAGCGCGGUGGCGGCCGGAGCAAAGGCCGAGCCGGCGCACGCCGCGAGCCUGACGCACCCACAGACGGAGCAGUCGAGCCUGUUGGCAGGACGCAGGCAUGUCGUCUCGGGAGCGGAGGCGCUCGGACGGAGCGACGCCAGGAGGCAACGGGGGCGCAUCAAGAUGGAGCGGAGCGGAGACCAGCCGGAGCAUGUGCGCGCACGCGCGGGCCGAGCGAAGCGGAGGCGAGCCGGUGUAUGUGUUGCAUAAAGGCAAUGUUUGACUUUGAUUGACUGAUGCAUGGUUAGCUUAGGACUGAUGUAUGAGCAUUGUAGGACUUGCAUCUAGAAAACGUAUAAGCGGGGUGGCAGGUAGCAACGGAAACAUCGCAGCACAGCGACGGAGUCGCCGGCCGGAGCAACGACGAGGCUCACUCGUCCGGCGAGUCACACACGCGCACACGAACUAAGCUAGCUAGCGAAGCUAGUACGCACACUGCUGCAGCCAAAUUCAUCGUGUUCGCUAGCUAGUCGUGCACGAACGCGUGUAUGCACAGAAACCGGAGGUGCUCGGGACAGCCGCGGAGCAGAGCGGAGCUGCGAGCAUGCAGAACGAGGGCAGAUGACGACGACGACGGGCCGUCUAGCACGGUCACGCCAGGGGCAUGAUGAUGUCGAGCCCCCUACCGGUGCCGGAGAGACGGCGGUGACGUCGCGGUGAUGAUGAAGAUGGCGAGGCCAACGGCAAGGACGCGCCGCCCUCGCGGCCACUCUGGGGGCAUGUCAAUGUCGAGCCCCGGCCGCUAUUAGAGAGACGGCACGCCACCGCGGCGAUGAAGACGAAGAUGGUCCCGCCCGGACUACGAAACCAGCAGCAGCACGGUAGCAUAGUACCGUCCCACGGUGGGCGCCAACUGUCGUGGUAUUCUCACGGGGGGUGCAAGACGACAGAUGCCACAGGGUGGCUUAGUGUGAGGGCAGGGCUGCUGCUGAUAGGCCCGAGAGCGGGUAUGUGAGUAGCACGCGCUAGUUUAUCCAGGUUCGGGCCUCUCCGAAGAGAUAACACUCCUACUCCUGCAUGUUUGAGUAUAUCUGGUAUGUAUAUGUAGUACAGAGUUACUCCUGAAGCUGUAUUUGAAAGCAGUGCCACGGACAUCUGGUUUUAUAUAUGCAUGUAUGCGGCCUACUCUAGUGGCCGGCCAUGCCCAUGGCUUAUGGCCGUGAUCAUGUAUGUGCUCAUGCGUGAGUUCAUGUGAGAGUGGAUGGACAGACGGAUGGAUGCUAUAUAUAGUGAGGCUAGCUGAGUAUGUAAGCUAGCUAGUGGCAUGGGGGCAAGUGGGCAUGGUGGGUGGGUUUGGUUGUAAGCUACGUUGGAUAGCUUACAAACCAAGCCAUGUAUGAGGCAUGGUGCAUGUCAUGUUUGUUUCCUGGGGCAUUUUAUAAAUCAAUGCCCACGGGACACGGUACAUUGUAGAUGACGUUGCGGUACGGCCAUCUCGUCGGGGUUUUGUCAGUGUCGGGUCGGGGCUGCAGUCGGCAGCCGACUGGUUGGCUCAGUCGGCAGCCGGCAGCCGGCCAGGUAGCUAGCCGGCCGUGUGGAGCAGUCGGACGGGGAGCCGACAGGAGCGGCCGGGCAGUCGGACUGAGGGGCUUUGCUGGCCCCGAUGUCUUGAUUUAUUGUCUCGCCGUCCUCGGGGUACCCGUGGCAAAUUACUCCGACAAUGAAGGUGGCUCGUGAAUUAAAUGCGAAGCCACGCGUGAGGAAUAAGUUUAGAAACAGGGGUGUUGUUUUGGUAGUUGUUGCCAAAGGGGGCGAAAUUGUAUAGAUCAUUAGGCUUUCAGAGAGAGUGUCUCGCUUUUGCUCGUUGUUUUUUCUUGAGUUCUAGCUACUAUUUCCCUUGAUUUGUGGUACUUUGUUUGUUAUGUGUGUGAGAUACUAUGUUUGUGUCGUGUGAUUGAUCAUAAUAUGCUUCAUGUGAUGAUUAAUGCUUAUGUGACAUGGAGAUUGUAAGCCAACUAUUUAUUUAUCCUUGUUCUUGUACAUGCGAUUGUGUGAAGAUGACCCUUCUUACGACAAAACCAAAAUGCGAUUAUGCCUCUAAGUCGUGCCUCGAAACGUGGGAGAUAUAGCCGCAUCUUGGUCAUUACAGCUUAUCUCUAUCAUUAUUUGUGUAUGAUCAUUAACUUAUGUCUUUGGUGAUGCGUGCUUAUUAUUUCACUCAGAUCAUUUUGUGCGCUCCACCAAGUUGUAUAUGACAUGGAAGAGUGACUGUCGGUGUCAAAACCGGCGUAUCUCGGGUAGGGGGUCCCAAACUAUGCGUCUAAGGCGGAUGGUAACAGGAGGCAGGGAACACGAUGUUCUACCCAGGUUCGGGCCCUCUUGAUGGAGGUAAAACCCUAUGUCCUGCUUGAUUAAUAUUGAUGAUAUGGGUAGUACAAGAGUAGAUCUACCACGAAGAAAUACACCCAGGUGUACCUUGAGUAGUCAUCCACAAUCACCAAGCAAUACUUCCUACCUCCAAGACUAUCGAAAGAUGGAGGCCCAAAGAGAUCCAUGUGAAGGAGCUCCAAAGGCCUCUUCGAAUAAAUGAUCAUCGUGGGAGGGUGAGCCUUCUCAUGUAGCUUUCCUUCGAUACAGGCACUGCAAGCACGAUCUUUAGCAAAACUAACAUUUGUUAGUCCACGGACAUGGUCCCCCUUGAGGAGACUUUGCAAAGAUCUCAUAUUGACAUGGGCUAAACGACGAUGCCAAAGCCAUCCCACAUCAACUUUAGCCAUUAGGCACGUCGCGGUCUUAGUGGGUCGCUCCGAAAAGUUAAUCACAUAUAGACCAUUCUCGUCAUGCCCAACAAAGGCUACUUUAAGAGUCUUGCUCCACAAGAGGGCCACGGUAUCGAUAUCAAAGAAAGUGGCAAAGCCCAUGAUUGCAAGUUGAUGAACAGAAAGUAAAUUGUAUGCAAGGGACUCAACAAGCAUGACCUUCUCGAUCGUGAGAUCAUGAGAGAUGACCACCUUGCCAAGUCCCAAUACCUUAGAAGAUGAGGUGUCACCCCACUCGACAUUGGUGGGCAUAGAUGGAACCUUGUGCACGUCCACCACCAAGUCCUUGCUUCCGGUCAUAUGAUUUGUAGCUCCGCUAUCGAGCAACCAUGAUCCACCACCGGAAGCAAACACCUACAAGAGAUCAAUGCUUGGUUUUAGGUACCCAUUUUGUAAUGGGUCCUUUGAUGUUAGUAACAAGGGUCUUUGGAACCCAAAUAGACCAUUCAAUGUACUCAUGAAGAGAACCAACAAAUUUGGCAUAAACAUGCCCAUCACUAGCACGGCAUAACACAUAAGAAGGAUUAAAAUCGCCAGCUUUGUUGGGAGGGGUGACAUUGCCCUUCUUGACAUUGUUCUUCUUCUGCUCGGAGGCACUCUCUCCCUCCUUCACAAAGGUUUUCAUGAGAGGAGGAGGUCGUUUGGUCUUGUCAUUCUUCUUCUUGUUCUUGGAGUCGGGCACGUACCCAACCCCUUCCUUGGCCACAACCCCCCUUUGGUUGAUCAAGAGAUUGUUGAGGUUCUUCUUGCCUUGUAUGCAAGUUGCAAGACCUCUCUCAAGUUGUCCUUUUAGCUUAGAGUUCUCCUCAACGAGAUGCACAUGCUCACAACACGGGUUAGUAGCAUUUGCAUUAUCAAUUAACAUCAUACGAGGGAAAGUGGCUUUUUCCUUGGUUAGCUUUACUUGAAGUUGAGCAUGAGACUCUUUGAGGCUAGCAUGAGCACCCUUCAAGACCUUGUGAGCCUUGUCAAGUAGAUCAAACUCCUCUUUGAGUCUAGCAAGAUCAACCUCAAGUUCGGCAUUCUCGGAGUUUAGCACAUGAGAAACUAUGAGGACAUGAUCAUAAUCUUUCUUUAACUUAGCAUGAUCAACGUUGUGUGACUCCUCAAGAGCCAAACGUAGACCACGCUCUUCCUCAAGAGCAUUGGAAAGAUCUGAAAUCUCAUCGGCAUAGUCACGACUAUGCCCUUCCAUCUUAGUGAUGGUGUCUUCGUGAGCCUCGAUCAUGUCAUUGGCUUCACCAAGUUGUUCCAAGAGAGCAACAAAGUGCUUCUUGGAUUUUCCCUUGAGUUUGCCCAUAAAGGCCUCAAACUCGUUAGCCUCCACAUUAGCUCCCUCAAGUUCAUUAAUGCUAUCCAUCGGAGAAGGAUGAUUAAUGAUGGUAGUUUUGAUGUUGGGGGUUACCUUGUUGGUGGCUUUAGCCAUGAGGCACUUGGCAGUGAUGCUCUCAUUGGGUGAGUCAAAGAGAGACACCCGUGACGUCGUCGCAAUGGCAACGGAGGCCAUGCCAACCGACUCAUCAUCUUCAUCAUCGUCAUCGUCAUCAUUGUACUCUUCUUGCACAACCAAAGCCUUGGGAGGAGUCUUCUUGGUGAAGUUGUUCUUGUUGGGGAACGACUUGGCCUUGUCCUUUCGGAUGAGCUUUCCACCGUUGUCUUCCCUCUUCUCAUACGGGCAUUCCGCAAUGAAAUGACUCAUGUUGCCACAAUUGUAGCAAGUCCUUACACGUUGCUUGCCCCUCGUGCCACUCGAGUUGUUUUUGCUAAAGUUUGGCCUCGAGUUUUUCUUGCUCCAAAAUUGCCUUGAAGCAAGUGCCAUGUGUUCAUGAUAUGCAUACUUCGCAUCUUCGGGGUUGCUCUCCUCUUCUUCCUCUUCUUCCUCUUCUUCUUCUUCCAUGGUGAGCUUGGCCUUCUGCAAGGUUAGGCUUCUUUGCCCAUUGAGAACGGAGCACCGCAUUGUCGGCGGUCUUGUCCAAAAUGUUCAUGGCCACAAACUCAUCCAACACUUCGCUUGAUGUCAAAGUGUGGAAGUCCGGUCUUUGACGAAUGACGGAGGACAUGGCCUUGUGAUAGGGCAUCAUUGCCUUGAGGAAUUUGCGCUUGAUCCAAUUGUCAUCCGUGUCCUUGCUCCCGUGAUCUCGUAGUGAGACCGCGAGUUUGGUUACUCUCCGAUAAAGCUCACGAGGUUCUUCAUCUUCUUUCAUUGCAAACUCAUCGGCCUCAUCUUGUACCACUUCAUAGUUGGAGCGUUGAAUGCUUGCGCUUUCCCGGUAGAGAGAGACAACACAAUGCCAUGCAUCUUUGGCCAAGGCGAAGGGACGAAGAUGAGGUAGGUCUUUGGGUGGAAUUGCAUCUUGAAUGAUGAAGAGAGCAUUCUCAUUGAAUUGAUUGUCCGCAGCUUCUCGAGGAGUGAAGUUGCUUGGAUCAUGUGGAUAGAAACCUUCUUCAAUGAUUCUCCAAAGGUUAGUGUUCACAUGAUUUAAAUGAUGUUUAAAGCGAUAAACCCAAGAAUCAAAAUCCUCAUUUUUCACAAUCUUAGGGGGAGGACCGGCAUGAUUCAAAUGAGUGGAAGGAAUCGGUCCACCAUAAACAAGUGGUGGUUCCACAUGGGCAAAGAUGUCGGUGCCAUUCUUACCACUAGAAGAAGGAGCCUUUUCACUACUAGCUUCCCCCUUGUCGGGGAUAGCAUCCGUCACCUUGUUGGCAGGGUCACCCACUUUCAAUGGUGCGGUGGAUAGUUUAAGCCCCUCAAGAAAUUUGGUAAACAUGCUUUCAACUUCGGUCGUCAUGGAGGUUUUCAAUGUCUCCAAGGCCACAUUGAACUCCUCACGAGAGACCGAGGUUCCCCCAUCGCCCGUAGACGAGAUCGGGUUCACACCGGAGUGUUCCUCCACACCGUCUACGGUAUCAACCAUACUCUUUGGACGGUAAAGUCCUUAAUAAAGAGACGAGGCUCUGAUACCAAUUGAAAGGAUCGAUAUGGUUGACUAGAGGGGGGGUGAAUAGGCAACUACCAAUUUUUAUUUUUCUUUACCAAAUUAAACUUUGCAUCAAAGUAGGUUGUCUAGAUGUGCAACUAGGUGAGCAACCUAUAUGAUGCAAUAACAACAAGCAUACAAGCAAGCAAGGGAAGAAACACUAAAGAGCUUGCACAAGUAAAGGUAAGAGAUAACCAAGAGUGGAUCCGGUGAAGACGAGGAUGUGUUACCGAAGUUCCUUCCUUUUGAGGGGAAGUACGUCUCCGUUAGAGCGGUGUGGAGGCACAAUGCUCCCCAAGAAGCCACUAGGGCCACCGUAUUCUCCUCACGCCCUCACACAAUGCGAGAUGCCGUGAUUCCACUAUUGGUGCCCUUGAAGGCGGCGACCGAACCUUUACAAACAAGGUUGGGGCAAUCUCCACAACUUAAUCGGAGGCUCCCAACAAGACCACGAAGCUUCACCAUAAUGGACUAUGGCUCCGUGGUGACCUCAACCGUCUAGGGUGCUCAAACACCCAAGAGUAACAAGAUCCGCUAGGGAUGAGUGGGGGAAUCGAAAAUCCCUUGGUGGAAGUGUAGAUUGGGGCCUUCUCAACCACUCCCGAGCAAAUCAACAAGUUUGAUUGGCUAGAGAGAUAGAUCGGGCAAAAAUGGAGCUUGGAGCAUUUAAUGGAGCUUGAGAAAUAAAUGGAGCUUGGGGGAGGAAGAGGUAGGUCAAAGAGAAGAAGGGGACUCCCUUUUAUAGUGGGGGCAACAAUCCAACCGUUGCCCCCCACCAACCAGCCCCGCACAGGGCGGUACUACCGCUGAGAGGGGGUGGUACUACCGCCAGGACAGCGGUACUGCCGCGCCAGCCAGCGGCACUGCCGUGCAGAGGAGACUAGUAGGAAAGGACCCAACCGCGGUACUACCGCGGUGGUAGGGACGGUACUACCGCUCCUAGAACGGUACUACCGCCUCUACAACCGCGACUAGUGCCGCAAAACCCGACACGAGAAAAAGACCUCUCGAAUCGAGGCGGUAGGAGCCAGACUGCCCAGCGGUACUACGGCAGCGGGGUCACGGGCGGUACUACCGCUGUGGAGCGGUACUGCCACUUGUGACCCUUCGGCCGUACUACCGCUGGCAGUGCGGUACUACCGCUGGGGCGCAAAAGAGAGAGAGAGAAUCUCUCAAAGAUGUUGAGGACGAGGCGGAGGUGCCAGGCACCCCAGCGGUACUACUGUUGUGGAGCCACGGGCGGUACUACCGCUGUGGAGCGGUACUGCCGCUUGUGGCUCCUCGGCAGUACUACCGCUGGGUUGCGCGGUACUACCGCUUGGACCCAGACAGGAGAAGGAAGAGAGGAGAGAUCUCUUCAAUGGAAUGGAGACGCUCGGAGGGUGAGAAGCUGAUGUGUACGUGAUGAUUCCACCCAUGCAAUACCCCAGCGGACCCCCUCUUGAUAGUACGGUGCCCUCUACACAACUAGUCCAUCGAGAAAGAAACGAAAGAGCUACACCGUCUUGAAAUACACUCCGAGGGGAAGAAAGCGUCUCAUGCCAGGGGAGAAUCUGUGAAUUAUUCAAAGCACAAGAUUAGUCCGCAAACAUGUUGUCAUCAAUCACCAAAACUACCUUGAGAGAGAUAUGCCGUAACAAAAGGCAUUCCCACACAACAUUUAUCCACACAGACCCCUCUUAAUAGUGCGGUCUUUCCUACGACUCGAAGNNNNNNNNNNNNNNNNNNNNNNNNNNNNNNNNNNNNNNNNNNNNNNNNNNNNNNNNNNNNNNNNNNNNNNNNNNNNNNNNNNNNNNNNNNNNNNNNNNNNNNNNNNNNNNNNNNNNNNNNNNNNNNNNNNNNNNNNNNNNNNNNNNNNNNNNNNNNNNNNNNNNNNNNNNNNNNNNNNNNNNNNNNNNNNNNNNNNNNNNNNNNNNNNNNNNNNNNNNNNNNNNNNNNNNNNNNNNNNNNNNNNNNNNNNNNNNNNNNNNNNNNNNNNNNNNNNNNNNNNNNNNNNNNNNNNNNNNNNNNNNNNNNNNNNNNNNNNNNNNNNNNNNNNNNNNNNNNNNNNNNUCGCACAUCUCCAUCGCGGGCACUUAGAACCAAUAACCUGAGAUAAACUUUAGCAACCGAUAUUAGUUCAACUAACCACAUUGUCAUCACACCAAAAUAUAGCUUAAGUUCCAUUAGCACUUUCAGGCGGGAGGGACCCUGCUCUUGUUCUUAUUAGGUGUCUUGGUUGGGGUUGUACAACAAUGGCGAUGUUCCACAAGCUAUGUUCGGUUAUUAGGGAUUUGACCCCGUAGAGGAUACAAUCCACACGGGUGUUGGGUUGACCCCGCCCCUUCACCCCCUCUGCAACAAUGGCGGGAUUAAUUCCAUGCAUAUGUAGGGCGGCUUUUGGGUCAAAACCGUAGGGUUGCGAGGGGAUUUGACAGGGUUUCUAUCCCCGUCUAGUAUAACCGAAUGCACUGUAUGAAACAGACCGUGAAAAAUCCCCAACCGCGACAAUCCUGGCCGAUCCACGGGGUUUUGACCCCAAUCCCUAGGGGGAUUAACCGAAUGAAGCCUCGGUAAGAAUAAUUCCCCUGACGUUCGAUCCUCUUCCCGACGGCGCGUCUAGCAUCGUCAGACGGCGUGUGGGGUUUGUCUCGGUCGGUCCUCGCGGGAUUCGGUCGAUGCUAGUCUUAGGUCGAUCUAUCUGGAUUCGGUCUUCGUUGAUGUGUUUAGGUUUGAUCCUUUUGAUCUACGACUUUCUUCAUCGACAAUGGUUGUUGCUCUAGUGCACUGGUCCUAUGAGGCCUUAGCACGGUGACUUCCUGACUAUUUACUACAAUCUAUACUCCUAAUGAAGCAGUUGGUAGUCUCCGUUCCUGAUUUUUUUUCGUCCCACCUCCCACUUUCGCUAGUUUUUUUCAUAGAUUUUUUUCGUCCCUUCCCCCACUUCACCGGUUUAUUUUCGCAUCACCCUCUCACACAAUGAAAGAAAUCUGAACAUACCAGAAUUUUCCAUGCUGGAGUAAAUCUCUACUCCUAAUGGAGCAAUUGGUAGUCUUCGUUUCGGGUUUUUUCCGUCCCACGUCCCACUUUCGCUGGGUUUUUUUCAUAGAUUUUUUUUCGUCCCCUCCCCCACUUCACCGGUUUAUUUUUGCGUCACCCUCUCACACAAUGAAAGAAAUCUGAACAUACCAGAAUUUUCCAUGCUGGCGCAAAUUAUUUAGUAAUGUAGAAUCAAUCAAGAUCAAUCUCUAAAGAUCAAAUCUAAAUUAAUUAACAUUACCUUAAAUCGCUCAAUCACAUUAAUUAGAAAACAAAUAAUUUAUUUUAAGAAAAAUCACUCAAUCACAUUAAUUAGGAAACAAAUAACCAAUUUUAAGAAAAUUAAUGUGUAAAUCAUAACAAAGAAAUCUCAUGGGCGAACGAGGCCCCCUCGAACGCCCGUGCACAACCGCCUUGUUCCCUCUCCCCCACCCAAAGCCGCCCUCUUCCCCACCGGCGCCGCCCUCCACUCACCUUCUUCUCUUAAAGUGGGGAGGCUCCAGAUCGAGUCGAGGAAGCCAGCGGGGCGGCGGUCAGAUCCAUCACGGCCACAUCUUGUCGAGAUGGACCACACCGGGAGAGGUAGAUCAAGGGGGCGGGCACCGUGUGCAUCUUCUCUCUCGGGACGCCGCUCCAACCCGAUUCGGUGAGAAGGCAGGCCUCCGUGUGCGGUAACAAGGGCGGCUGGCGAUCGGCGACGGUCGGCCCUCUCCCUCCCCUCCGGCCCUCCACUCUAUGUUUCCUCCAAAUGAUUCUCCUCUAGAUGGCGAUGCGAGGUCUCUGUAACAGGUGUGUUAUUCAUUUGAAUGGCGGUCGCCUUUGUGCAGUCGUCGACCACUAUCGCCAUGUUCAUUGCUCCCAUGUAUUGGUACUUCACGUCAAUAAUACAACCUUGAGUAUCAGUUUGAUAAUUCAUCUUGAAGGCAUUACCUUUGGCAGCACAUAUUAGGUAUAAUAUACUCCACUCUCCAUGAUUGUUGUACUCUCUUCCCAUAAAGUCAGAUUUGUUCAUCCUUUUAGUGCAAUUUAUUUCCUGUCAGCAAUCUGCUACGCAUGCAAUCUUAUGAGCAAAAUUUUAUUUAGGCCAUCCUUUUCAUAGUAUUAUUCAGGCACCACUUUUUGGUCUCUGGGUAUCAGAAUUACUAUAUCCUACACAAGAUAGAUUUGUACGUGAGACUGACAAUUAAUCAUACUCCGUAGUUAUGCAACACCAAGACCCUUGACUUUUUCAGUCCAACAGUAUCCCAUAGCUACAUAGAUAAAAUAGAACCAUCAUAAUCUGUAAAGCAGCAGAAGAGCUAACCAUAUUCAAACUGCAAACAAAAAGUAUAAAGUUAUUUUUACAGCAAAGACUAGCUUUGAGAAAAGAAAUGCAUAUAUUUGAUUGGGAAAAGAAGACAUGCUAGCUCAAAUAUUUUGUGAUGCAAUUAUGCACCAUUUGAUAGCAGAGUGGUAUUAUGUCCCUCAAUGAUUCUAAAUUUCUAUUAUCUGACAAAAUUUGUUUACCGGUCUUUGCCGUGCUGCUUUUAAUGCCAGGGUCAUAGUAGAAUUGUUGUUCCACCAAAAUUCAGAUGUGAAGAGGAGUUCUUGAUAAUAGAUGAACAUACCAGCCUACUUGCCUACAACCAAUGUAGAAUUAUCAGCGGGUACGCCAGUCGGAGCAGUUGACUGAAGAAAACUUGCAGAUAGCUACCAUCAAUGUCACUUAAGUAAAUAGUCUAGAUCUUACACGUGACCGUUGUUUUUGAAGCCUUAUCUGCAGUUCAGACUAUAUGGCGAGAAGACACAAGGGCAUCAUACAUUGGAUACUACAAAGUAGACAUGUUUUUACAAAUGACAUAGGGGAAUAUCACCACAGUGGAAGCAAAGCACCCUAUAUCUAUGAAAAUAAAUAGUAUAAGACAUCAAGGAAGAAAAUGAGACAUUAACAUUUGAUGAAGAUUCAACUUCAUAGGAAGUAGGAGUGCUUAUAAGGGGUGCUGCUAUAAAGGGGAUGGAGGUAAUCAGAAGAAUUUGCAUGUGGUAAAAUAACUACCUCAUAGAAGAGUUAAUUGGUUUUAAUGUAGGAAAAAUCUACAGGCUGAUUAAGCUUUGAUGUAUUUGAUGUAUAAAUAUUAGCAUUUCGCUCUACAUAAAAAAAAUCUUGCUAAGGUUAUUCAAUAGGCUAAGAGAAUACUUGAUGGACCAAGGCAAGUAGUGUUUGUAAUGACUUGGUUUAUGAUAGUGCAAAAUAAAUUAUAAAGAGAGUACAUAGAUUAUUUCCAUGAAAUAUUUUAAACUUGCACAUAUUCUGGUUCGUAUCAUGAUAUCCACACAAACCUAACUAUCCUGCUUACAAUGCUUCACACAAAUAGAUAAAAAAAUGUUUCUUAUCAAAAAUGAAAAAUUACUCCAUCAUAUGUGUGGAGUAUGUUGUAGUGCUCCACAAAAUAUUUCUCAUGACCCCUGAAAACUUUUAAGGAUGGAGCGAAUUACCCAAAACAAUUUUCAUGAAAUUCCUUUUGUUGUGGUGGCAAAUAUAAUGCUUAGAGCAUCUCCAAUAGAUGAUGUAUAUUUUGGUGAUCCAAACCGGUGAUGUAAAAAAUUACAUCACCAAAAAGUGCUUUUUACAUCUCCAAAAAGGCUUAACUCCAACAGAUGGUCCAAAACGGAGGUGUAAAAGAGCAACUCCAACAGAUGGUCCAAAACGAAGAUGUAAAAUUCUGAAAACGACCACUACUACUUCAUCUCAACAUAGUUCAAACAUCAAAUUCAAACAUAGUUCAAAUAUAGCUGACAUAAAUUUAAAAUAGCAGAACUACUCGUUGUCCGAGGGCAUCCAGUAUGACCCUUCGGAGUCAUCCGAGAGCCCCCAGAACUCCUCGUCCUUCUCCGACGAUGAUGGAGGAUGGGGAUCACCGUUGAGGGGCCGGCCUCGGCCUCCUUCUUCACCUCCUCCUCCUCCUCCUCCUCCUUCUUCUUCUUCUCCUCGGCAUCACACUUCCAGUAGAACUCCUGCUCGGCCUGGGCAUACUCGGGAUGCUCCUGCGCAAACUAAGCCAUCACCGCCUCGUCGCUCUCACCGGGAGUGAUGACAGUCGCCGGUCUCUUCUUCUUCGUCGUCGGCAUCUCCUCCAUCCGGAUGCCCUGCAGCACGAGCCACUCUGCCACCGCCCAGGUCUCGAUUGCCGGGAAGUUGACGUCCGUCUUCGGCCGUCCGACACGCCACACCGCCAAGUCGUGGGCACAUGCAACCUCGUCGGCGGUGGGAUACGUGCCAAGCCACCAACGCCGCCCGGCGUCGAAGAACUCUACUCCGAAGUUCCCGGAGUGCUUCACCCUUACGCCGAAGAAACCCGACUUGCCCUCCGGCAUCUUCUUCGACGCCAUCGGGUGGCGGCGUCGGCCGGAGUGAGUCAGGGCAGCGGUAGAUGGGGAGAGAUCAGGGCGGCGGCCGAGCGGGGAGCGGGCGGCGGCGUGCGGUGUGGGGCGGAGGCGGACGAAGCGGGGCGGUGGCGUGCAGUGCCGGCAAGGGAGGGCGGCGGCGGUGAGCGAUGCAGGCGGAGGCCGGAGCGGGGCGGAGGUGGGCGGAGCCAGGGCGGGUCUAAGGCAGACGGGUCCGGGGCGGGGUGGAGGCGGCCGGAGCGGAGGCGGACGGGGCCGGGGCGGCGCGGUGCGGUGACGGCCUGAUCCACCCGUACGACGGCGGGUGGCGGUCCAGACAGGGUGGAAUCAGCGGGGGGUAGGGACGGGGCUGGAUCUGCGGCGGGGCGGUGUCGCGGAGCUGUGGCGGGGCGGCGGUGGGCGGGCGGGAGGAAGAAGGGGAGAAAUGAACUGAAGGGCGGUUGGGCGUUGGUGCGCGGCCGCGGUUUUUACAUCUUCUGACUCUGGAGAUGUAAAUUUGCACCGCGAGGUGUUGUAUUUUACAUCUCGUGGAGGCGAAAAUGUAAAAAAAUUGCAUAUGGACCAUCUGUUGGAGAGAUAAUUUUUGCCUCAGAAGAUUCAAAAGUUGGUUAUUUUUACAUAUGGUGUUGGGGAACGUAGUAAUUUCAAAAAAAAUCCUACGCACACGCAAGAUCAUGGUAAUGCAUAGCAACGCGAGGGGAGAGUGUGAUCUACGUACCCUUGUAGAUUGACAACGGAAGCAUUAACUUGGUUGAUGUAGUCGUACGUCUUCACGGCCCGACCGAUCAAGCACCGAAACUACGGCACCUCCGAGUUCUAGCACACGUUCAGCUCGAUGACGAUCCCCGGACUCCGAUCCAGCAAAGUGUCGGGGAAGAGUUCCGUCAGCACGACGGCGUGGUGACGAUCUUAAUGUACUACUGUCGCAGGGCUUCGCCUAAGCACCGCUACAAUAUUAUCGAGGACUAUGGUGGAAGGGGACACCGCACACGGCUAAGAAUAUGAUCACAUAGAUCAACUUAUGUCCAAACUCGUAACUCAAAUAUUCUCCUCCAUGAUCAGAUCGUAGAAACUUUAUUUUCUUGUUAUGAUGACUUUCAACUUCACUCUGAAAUUCUUUGAACUUUUCAAACGUUUCAAACUUAUGUUUCAUUAAGUAGACAUAUCCAUAUCUGCUUAAGUCAUCUGUGAAGGUGAGAAAAUAACGAUAUCCGCCACGAGCCUCAAUAUUCAUCGGACCACAUACAUCAGUAUGUAUGAUUUCCAACAAAUCUGUUGCUCUCUCCAUAGUACCGGAGAAUGGCGCUUUAGUCAUCUUGCCCAUGAGGCACGGUUCGCAAGUACCAAGUGAUUCAUAAUCAAGUGGUUCCAAAAGUCCAUCAGUAUGGAGUUUCUUCAUGCGCUUUACACCGAUAUGACCUAAACGGCAGUGCCAUAAAUAAGUUGCACUAUCUUUAUCAACUCUGCAUCUUUUGGCUUCAACAUUAUGAAUAUGUGUGUUACUACUAUCCAGAUUCAAUAAGAAUAGACCACUCUUGAAGGGUGCAUGACCAUAAAAGAUAUUACUCAUAUAAAUAGAACAACCACUAUUCUUUGAUUUAAAUGAAUAACCGUCUCGCAUCAAACAAGAUCCAGAUAUAAUGUUCAUGCUUAACGCUGGCACCAAAUAACAAUUAUUUAGGUCUAAUAUUAAUCCCGAAGGUAGAUGUAGAGGUAGCGUGCCGACCGCGAUCACAUCGACUUUGGAACCGUUUCCCACGCGCAUCGUCACCUCGUCCUUAGCCAAUCUUCGCUUAAUUCGUAGUCCCUGUUUCGAGUUGCAAAUAUUAGCAACAGAACCAGUAUCAAAUACCCAGGUGCUACUGCGAGCAUUAGUAAGGUACACAUCAAUAACAUGUAUAUCGCAUAUACCUUUGUUCACCUUGCCAUCCUUCUUAUCCGCCAAAUACUUGGGGCAGUUCCGCUUCCAGUGACCAGUCUGCUUGCAGUAGAAGCACUCAGUUUCAGGCUUAGGUCCAGACUUGGGUUUCUUCUCUUGAGCAGCAACUUGCUUGCUGUUCUUCUUGAAGUUCCCCUUCUUCUUCCAUUUGCCCUUUUUCUUGAAACUAGUGGUCUUGUUGACCAUCAACACUUGAUGCUCCUUUUUGAUUUCUACCUCCGCAGCUUUCAGCAAUGCGAAGAGCUCGGGAAUAGUCUUAUUCAUCCCUUGCAUAUUAUAGUUCAUCACGAAGCUCUUGUAGCUUGGUGGCAGUGAUUGGAGAAUUUUGUCAAUGACGCAAUCAUCUGGAAGAUUAACUCCCAUUUGAAUCAAGUGAUUAUUAUACCCAGACAUUUUGAGUAUAUGCUCACUGACAGAAAUGUUCUCCUCCAUCUUGCAGCUAUAGAACUUAUUGGAGACUUCAUAUCUCUCAAUCCGGGCAUUUGCUUGAAAUAUUAACUUCAACUCCUGGAACAUCUCAUAUGCUCCACGACGUUCAAAACGUCGUUGAAGUCCCGGUUCUAAGCCGUAAAGCAUGGCACACUAAACUAUCGAGUAGUCAUCAGCUUUGCUCUGCCAGAUCUUCACAACAUCUGGUGUUGCUCCAGCAGCAGGCCUGGCAUCCAGCGGUGCUUCCAGGGCGUAAUUCUUCUGUGCAGCAAUGAGGAUAAUCCUCAAGUUACGGACCCAGUCCGUGUAAUUGCUACCAUCAUCUUUCAACUUUGCUUUCUCAAGGAACGCAUUAAAAUUCAACGAAACAACAGCACGGGCCAUUUAUCUACAAUCAUACAUAAACAAGCAAGAUACUAUCAGGUACUAAGUUCAUGAUAAAUUUAGGUUCAAUUAAUCAUAUUACUUAAAGAACUCCCACUUAGAUAGACAUCCCUCUAAUCCUCUAAGUGAUUACGUGAUCCAAAUCAACUAAACCAUGUCCGAUCAUCACGUGAGAUGGAGUAGUUUCAUUGGUGAACAUCACUAUGUUGAUCAUAUCUACUAUAUGAUUCACGCUCGACCUUUCGGUCUCCGUGUUCCGAGGCCAUAUCUGUAUAUGCUUGGCUCGUCAAGUAUAACCUGAGUAUUCCACGUGUGCAACUGUUUUGCACCCGUUGUAUUUGAACGUAGAGCCUAUCACACCCGAUCAUCACGUGGUGUCUCAGCACGAAGAACUUUCGCAACGGUGCAUACUCAAGGAGAACACUUCUUGAUAAUUAGUGAGAGAUCAUCUUAUAAUGCUACCGUCAAUCAAAGCAAGAUAAGAUGCAUAAAAGAUAAACAUCACAUGCAAUCAAUAUAAGUGAUAUGAUAUGGCCAUCAUCAUCUUGUGCUUGUGAUCACCAUCUCCGAAGCACCGUCAUGAUCACCAUCGUCACCGGCGCGACACCUUGAUCUCCAUCGUAGCAUCGUUGUUGUCUCGCCAAUCUUAUGCUUCCACGACUAUCGCUACCGCUUAGUGAUAAAGUAAAGCAUUACGGCGCGAUUGCAUUGCAUACAAUAAAGCGACAACCAUAUGGCUCCUGCCAGUUGCCGAUAACUCGGUUACAAAACAUGAUCAUCUCAUACAAUUUAGCAUCAUGUCUUGACCAUAUCACAUCACAACAUGCCCUGCAAAAACAAGUUAGACGUCCUCUACUUUGUUGUUGCAUGUUUUACAUGGCUGCUACGGGCUUAAGCAAGAACCAAUCUUACCUAUGCAUCAAAACCACAACGAUAGUUUGUCAAGUUGGUGCUGUUUUAACCUUCACAAGGACCGGGCGUAGCCACACUCGGUUCAACUAAAGUUGGAGAAACUGACACCCGCAAGCCACCUAUGUGCAAAGCACGUCGGGAGAACCGGUCUCGCGUAAGCGUACGCGUAAUGUCGGUCCGGGCCGCUUCGUCCAACAAUACCGCCGAACCAAAGUAUGACAUGCUGGUAAGCAGUAUGACUUAUAUCGCCCACAACUCAAUUGUGUUCUACUCGUGCAUAUAACAUCAACAUAUAAAACCUAGGCUCGGAUGCCACUGUUGGGGAACAUAGUAAUUUCAAAAAAAUUCCUACGCACACGCAAGAUCAUGGUGAUGCAUAGCAACGAGAGGGGAGAGUGUGAUCUACAUACCCUUGUAGAUCGACAACGGAAGCGUUAACUUGGUUGAUGUAGUCGUACGUCUUCACGGCCCGACCGAUCAAGCACCGAAACUACGGCACCUCCGAGUUCUAGCACACGUUCAGCUCGAUGACGAUCCCCGGACUCCGAUCCAGCAAAGUGUCGGGGAAGAGUUCCGUCAGCACGACGGCGUGGUGACGAUCUUGAUGUACUACUGUCGCAGGGCUUCGCCUAAGCACCGCUACAAUAUUAUCGAGGACUAUGGUGGAAGGGGGCACCGCACACGGCUAAGAAUAUGAUCACGUGGAUCAACUUAUGUCCUUAGGGGUGCCCCUUGCCUCCGUAUAUAAAGGUUCAAAGGGGGGGCGGCCAAGAGGAGGCGCGCCAGGAGGAGUCCUACUCCCUCCGGGAGUAGGACUCCCCCCCUUUCCUAGUUGGAAUAGGAUUCGCGAAGGGGGGGAAAGAGGAGAGAGAGGAGGAAGGGGGGCCGGCCCCCUCUCCUUGUCCUAUUCGGACCAAGGGGGGAGGGGCGCGCGGCCCAUCUCUGGCCACCUCUCCUCUCUUCCACUAAGGCCCACUAAGGCCCAUAUACCUCCCGGGGGGGUUCCGGUAAUCCGGUAAAAUCCCGAUUUCACCCGGAACACUUCCGAUAUCCAAACAUAGGCUUCCAAUAUAACAAUCUUUAUGUCUCGACCAUUUCGAGACUCCUCGUCAUGUCCGUGAUCACAUCCGGGACUCCUAAAAACCUUCGGUACAUCAAAACGCAUAAACUCAUAAUAUAACUGUCAUCGAAACCUUAAGCGUGCGGACCCUACGGGUUCGAGAACAAUGUAGACAUGACCUAGACACGUCUCCGGUCAAUAACCAAUAGCGGGACCUGGAUGCCCAUAUUGGUUCCUACAUAUUCUACGAAGAUCUUUUAUCGGUCAGACCGCAUAACAACAUACGUUGUUCCCUUUGUCAUCAGUAUGUUACUUGCCCGAGAUUCGAUCAUCAGUAUCCUAUACCUAGUUCAAUCUCGUAACCGGCAAGUCUCUUUACUCGUUCUGUAAUACAUCAUCCCGCAACUAACUCAUUAGUUGCAAUGCUUGCAAGGCUUAAGUGAUGUGCAUUACCGAGAGGGCCCAGAGAUACCUCUCCGACAAUCGGAGUGACAAAUCCUAAUCUCGAAAUACGCCAACCCAACAUGUACCUUUGGAGACACCUGUAGAGCUCCUAUAUAAUCACCCAGUUACGUUGUGAUGUUUGGUAGCACACAAAGUAUUCCUCUGGCAAAUGGGAGUUGCAUAAUCUCAUAGUCAUAGGAACAUGUAUAAGUCAUGAAGAAAGCAAUAGCAACAUACUAAACGAUCGGGUGCUAAGCUAAUGGAAUGGGUCAUGUCAAUCAGAUCAUUCAACUAAUGAUGUGAUCCCGUUAAUCAAAUAACAACUCUUUGUCCAUGGUUAUGAAACAUAACCAUCUUUGAUUAACGAGCUAGUCAAGUAGAGGCAUACUAGUGACACUCUGUUUGUCUAUGUAUUCACACAUGUAUUAUGUUUCCGGUUAAUACAAUUCUAGCAUGAAUAAUAAACUUUUGUCAUGAUAUAAGGAAAUAAAUAAUAACUUUAUUAUUGCCUCUAGGGCAUAUUUCCUUCAUAUCGACCGUCUGUUGAAGAUGCUCUUAGUCCUGAAAAUAUUAUAAUGAAAAAUAUUAUUUUGUGCAUAGUCGAACACUUAAAUAAUUGAUUGAGGGAAUUUGAGAGGAUGGAGAAGAUGAGGGCACAAUAAAGAAAUGGAUGGAAAAAAAGAAAGAAGAGUGUUGGAGAUAAGAGACAGAGUGAGAAAGAGGGUCUUUACAUAAAAAAAAGUCGACAAUGAUGCAUAAACAUAAUUAGUAUGAGGGUAAAGUAUAUAUUAUACACAAGUGAUGUUGAACUAUUGUUAUAUACAAAGAACCCGUAGCAAUGCAUGGGCGUUCUAUUAGUAAGAUAGUGAGGGAGGGGCGAUGACGGCGGCAUGCCUUCGACUCGCUCUAGUGCUUGUAACUUUUAUGACUUAUAUAUGAUGUGAAUAGAUCAAAAGUUUCUCUCAUAAUUUUUUUUUGUUUGCAUUGUUAAUCUCUACUCCUUUUUUUAGGGCAAGCAAUAAGCUUUAUUACGAAAUGAGUUGGGCAAUAUCGCCCAUUACAAACUCAGCAACACUUGCUGGAAGAACAUGAUCAGCAACAAGGAUAUCCCCCUCUUGACGGGCAAGUCCUAAUCUGGCCAUAUGACGCGCUGGCAUAUUAGCCUCGCGCUUACAGUGGGCAAACACACACGAGGAGAACCAUAAUCUGGAUUGCACUUUAAUGUCUUCAAUCGCUUAUGCUUGACGUGAGUAGUCAGGGUUCUCUUGUUUAAGGCAUGUUCAAGCAUGAGGGCGUCCAUCUCGACCGUCAGGCGCACCACCCCCAGCUCUGCAGCAAGGUCCAAGGCUUUCUCCACUGCAUGCAGCUCCGUACUGAACGCAUCGACGGCAUGGUCCAUUCGCCCCGCCCGUGCCGCCACAACAUCCCCUGUACUAACCCGGACGAUGACUCCCCAUGCUCCCCGCCCGCCUUCCUCGAUGAAAGCACCAUCGACGUUGAAUUUCAGCAUGUCCUGUGGGGGCGGGUUCCAGUGAGGCAUGCAGGCCGGCGCCGGGGUCACUUUGCAGAAACAGUCCUGGAAUUCUUCGGCCGUGCAUGCAGCUCUAAUGGCAAACUGCGUGUGCUCCAUUGGCUUUUCUCCCUCUCUAACCUUGUUUCGUUGAGUCCACCACUGCCGCCACAUGGUUAUGAUCAUCAUCCGUUCCUUUUUAGGAAGCUGCCACAAGAAUUCCAAGGUUGUAUGCACACUAUCACACUCUGCCAGCCGCUGUCUGGCAUACUCGAGAUCGAGACUCCGCCACACCUGCUUGACUUCGUGUCAUUCCACGAAUAGGUGUUUUGCCGACUCGUUUCUCAUGUUGCACAUGAAGCAUUUGUGAUCCUCGAUUUUCAUUCCUUUUCGACACAAAAUGUCCUUAGUGGCUAGUGUGUUAUGCGCAAGUCGCCACAUGAAAUGACGAAUCUUCCCUGGGCAUGGAAGUCUCCAUAUUCUCUUCCACUUUGCCUCUCCUCCGCCCUCAAGAUUACCGGCAACAGGAGGGAUCCCAACUCCUUGUUCGGCUUCAGGCUCAGCAAGAGCCCUCUUUAGUUUAUACGCCUGCUUAACCGAGAAGAGGCCCUUGGUGUCAAAGUGCCAAGCCAAAAAAUCAACUGCUCCAUCCCGAAGAGGCAUUUGGAGUAUCAAUCCUGCAUCCUCCUCCCAAAAAGUGUCCCUGAUCAGCUCCGUAUCCCACUUGCCAGUAACUGGGUCGAUUAGUUCAGAGACCUUGGUCAAGAUAUUUCCCCCACGAGGAGUGAUGACCCGCCUAGACCAUGCUCUGGGUAUCCAAGGAUCAUCCCAAAUGCGGAUACUUGCGCCAUCUCCAACACGCCAUAUCAUACCUUGUUUAACUAGAUCAAUUCCGUGGAUGAUGCUGCGCCAAGCGUAGGACGUGUUUGUGGUCUGUCCCGCAUCAAGGAUGGAACUGUUCGGGUAGUAUUUGGCCUUCAGGAGCUGAGCACAUAGACUGUCCGGGUUUUCAAUCAGACGCCACACCUGCCUGGCAAGCAUGGCAAUGUUAAAAUCAUGAAUAUCUCGGAAGCCGAGGCCCCCCGCCCUUUCGAUCGUGUAAGUUUUUGCCACCCAAUCCAGUGUAUCUUAUUGUCCUUAUCUUGCUGGCUCCACCAGUAACGCGCAAUCAUAGAGCUUAACUCUUCACAAAAGGACAUAGUGAGAUAGAACACUGACAUAGCAAAAGUUGGAACCGCUUGUGCAACACCCUUAACCAGGAUCUCCUUUCCUUGCCGAGAAAGUGUUCUCUCGUUCCAGCCUUGCAUAUAGUUCCAGAUCCGGUCCUUCAGGUAAGCAAAGGCCUUCUUUUUGGACCGGCCGAUGUACACGGGAAGCCCCAAAUAUUUCUCGUUAUACGCCUCGCUAGCAAUCCCCAAAACUCCUUUCACAGUACCCUUCGUCUGUUCGGUGCAGUUUUUACUGAACAUGACAGCAGAUUUUUCAUAGUUGACACACUGGCCCGAGCAUCUCUCAUAAACUUGGAGUAUCCGAUGUAGUUCCACAGCUUCAGCAGCCCUGGCUCGCAUCAGGAGGACCGAAUCAUCCGCAAAGAAAAGAUGCGAGAUGGAUGGCGCCCCCGGGCAGAUUUGUAUUCCUCCAAACGAACCACGCUGUUGGGAAUCAUUUAGUAAGGCCGACAGUCCUUCAGCAACAAUGGCAAAAAGAUAUGGUGAGCUUGGGUUGCCCUGCCGGAGCCCUCGAGAAGGUACAAACUGCUGGGUGAGUUAACCAUUGAUUUUGAUACUGUACUUUACCGAAGUUACACACUUCAUCACUAGCUUGGCCCAUCUUCUCGCGAACCCCAACUUGUUCAUCAUUGCUUCGAGGAAACCCCACUCUACCCGGUCAUAUGCUUUGCUCAUAUCCACUUUGACCUCAGCAAAUUCCUCCUUCCCCGACCGCUUGUUCAUCAAGAAAUGUGAAAUCUCAUAAGCCAUAAGGAUAUUAUCAGUUAUCAACCGUCCAGGCACAAAGGCACUCUGAUUAUGUGAGAUGAUCUGUGGCAGAAUGAUCUUGAGGCGAUUCGCCAUAACCUUGGAGAUAAUCUUAUAUAGGACAUUACACAGACUUAUGGGCCUGAGAUCCUUGACCCGAGUCGGGUUUUUCACCUUGGGUAUAAGCACAACAUGAGUAUCAUUCCAGCCCACUGGCAUCUCACCACCCUCUAAAACAUGCCGCACCUCAUCAACUAUGUUCUUGCCCAUAAGCUGCCAAUAUUUCUUGAACACCACCGCAGGCAUGCCAUCCGGCCCCGGUGCCUUGAGGUCUCCAAUCUGAUCCAGAGCGGUUUUGAUCUCCAUAUCCGUGAAGGGAGCGGUGAGGCCAUCAUUCAUAGCACUAGUGACCUUCACCGGAACAGCUCGGAGAAGCUCAUCAUAUUGGCCAACGCCAUUGGAGGUGAACAAGCCCUGAAAGUAAGACAUGACAUAGUUAGUGAGCUCCCUCCCUUCCUCUACAACUACUCCAUCCUCCCUCUUAAGCCUCCGAAUCCUGUUAGCCUUCCUUCUCGCCGAGGCAUAACGGAAAAAAAACUUUGUGUUCCUAUCCCCUUCCUUCAGCCACCAGACAUGAGCUCGCUGCCUCCAUUUAAUGUCAAUUACCUCCUCUAAAUGGUCCACCAAAACUCUUAGCCUCACCUCCUCAGCCACCUUCUCCGGUGUGACACCCUCCCUCCUACAAGCUUCCAACUCCCGCUUUGCUUCCUUUAACUUCUUCUUCGUAUCUCCCACGACAUCUCUACUCCAUCUAGAGAGAUCUCUAGCCACGCCCAUCAGUGCCGCGGCCAUGUCCAGAGCCCCUCCCUCGCGCACUCUUCGCCAUGCUUCCUUCACAACCAAAUCACACCCCUCUUCCUUCAACCACCGGGCUUCGAACCGAAAGCAUCCCGGUCCCUUCCUUCCCCCGUCCCCCAUCUCCUCCGUGUCAACCACCACCGGCCUGUGAUCGGAAUGCCUCGGGACCUCAUUUCAAACUCGAAACUCCGGGAACUUUGAGCACCAUUCCAUGUUGGCAGUAGCCCAAUCGAGACGACCACAGACAUAGCCAUCCGCACGCGUGCAGUUGUUCCACCAAGUGAUAACAUCUCCCUCAUAUCCUAGAUCACUCAGCUUGCAUUCCUCCAACGCAUCUUUAAACUGGUUCAUACACCCGUCCGAUCGGUCCACACCCCCUCUCUUCUCUUCAUUGGACAUGAUUUCAUUAAAAUCCCCCAAGCAAAGCCACGGCCUUCCCUCCGGGUGCUGCUGGUUAAGCAAAUGCAUCGUCCUCCAGGUUUCCUUCUUCCUUCCCCACUGCGACUCCCCAUAUACUCCAGUAAUCCUCCAAAUUGAACCAUCCUCCUCCGUUAUGUCUGCAUCAACAUGCCUUCUACCCACUGAUCUCAAAGAGAGGUUGAUCCCCCUCCUCCAAAAGAUGGCCACCCCCCGGCUCCUCCCUUCCGAAUCCUUAGCACACAUAUUAGCCAACCCUAGCUUCCACCUAUACUGCUCCAACUCCUUCUCCAACAGUUUUGUCUCACACAAAAACAAAACAUCGGGAUCCUCCACCCUCUUGAGAUCCAAGAGGCCACGAACUGUCGGGCCAUUCCCGAGUCCCCGGCAGUUCCAGCUUACAAUCCUCAUUGUGUCCGGCGGGGCUGCUCCUGCAGCCCGGCCGAUAUCAUGUUUACUGGAGCCGUUACUGACUCACCCACCCUUCUCUCUUCCCCAUCUUCCACUCUUCCCUUCUUUUUCAUCUUUUCCUCCUCCUCCCCCUCCACAUUCCUCUUCUGACCCAACAAGCAGCCCACUCCACCGUCUUCCUUUGCCACCACCGGCCCUUCCCUUCUAAUCUUCUUGUAUUUCUUUGGGACAUGGCCACCACUACUUCCUCUCCCGUCCACCCUCACAUCGCUCUCCUCUACUACUGCCUUCCCGUUCUGCUUCUUCGGUUGGUGUACCACCUCCUUACAAAUUGUCCCAUCCUCCCCCUCCACUUCCAUAGCUCCUCCUUUCUCCUCCACCUCCCCCUGAUCCGAUCGUGCAUCUCCCCCCGACACCUCCUCGCUUUCACCAGCGGUCUGAAAAGUCAGCCUCUUUGGAAGCCCCCCUCCCCCGUUCGCCUUCAAAGUCUUGCUAGGGCUAGUGACCUCUUCUUCUUCCUCCGUCCCACCCUCAACUGUCUUGGGGUCAAAUUUUCGCGAGAUUAUCACUCCGAGACCUACCCGCCAGCCUCCCGCCCAUACGAUCGCCCACUUCCAGAGCCACUCCCACUCCCACUCUGAUUGCUCCUCCACAUCCGUCCUUCCUCUGCACCACGUCGUCGCAUCAUGUCAGCACGCAACCAUCUCCCAUACUGCGCAUUCUCCCCCUUCUUUAGUCUGAUGGAGCAUCCUUUGUCCACAUGUCCAAUGAGUCCACAGAUAUAACAGAAGUCAGGGACGAAUUCAUACUCAAAACGGCAAAAUAGCCUCUCCCUAUCGCCAUCUCCUCCACGCUCACCCCCAUUCUCCUCAUCACUUUUAGACUCCUCAUCCAGAGUGAUUCCCCUCAUUAUCGGUUUGUUGAUUGGCAUACGUACUUUGAUGCGCAAAAACCUCCCCACCGCCGAGCCAUCCACUCCUGAGUCCAUCUCUACAUACUUGCCCACUAGGUUUCCAAUCUCCUCCGCCAUCUCCUCCUCCAUCUUCCCCAGCGGCAGCCCAAACACUCUGAACCAGAUUGGGAUCUCAUCGAACACGUACUGCUCAAUUUUCUUACUUGGCACAAAGUCCACCACCACCACGAGAUCAUUAUCAAACAUCCACGGACCAUCCUCCAACGCCUUGCGCUUGCCUGAUUCUUGUUUGAACGUGAACAGGAAUAUAUUGUCGCCCAACUCUUUGCAGUCCACGCCCUUCAGGGGGCACCAGCACUUCCCCAGCGACAGGCAGAUCGCAUCAUGGUGCGCGGGCCUCUCCGACAUCACCUUCCCCACCGCCUGAACCCCAGCCUUGUUCUCCUUGGCCCGCGUCGUCCAUCGGAUCUUCACUCCUCUCCUCUCCUCCUCCAACAACUUCAUCUUCUCCAUCAGCCCCGCUACUUUCUCCAUGGCCGCACGGAAACAGCGCACAAGACGGAAACCCUAGACAGGUGUUUUACGAUCGUGUGCCCUAGGGAACACCCGAAAGGCUUAUGGUGGGGGACAGGGUCUCGCAGGGCGGGCAGGGCGCCUCACCGCGGGACGGCGGAAGGGCUCAACCAGCGACCACCGGCGAUCAGAUCUGAACGCACGGGGCGGACGAACAGCGGGAAUCAGGAGGGAGAAUAUCGCCUCCGUAAUCGCCGGACAUACCAACCGUCACCGUACGUGAGACGGACUGUGGUUUGGUGUUAAUCUCUACUCCUAAUGAAGCAGUUGGUAGUCUCCGCCGGUCAAUUUUCGUCCUCAAUCGCACCUUCCAGUUUUGUUGGUUUUUUUGUCGAGUUUUUAUUCGUCCCCGCACGCCCCUCCACCUUCCCUACCCAGGUCGCCGCACACCACCGCCGCCGCCGCCGCCGCGAAUCCCCGGGGACGCCGCACGCCGCCGCCGCCACCGCAAAUCCCCAGGGACGCCGCACGCCGCCGCCGCUGCGAAUCCCCAGGGACGCCGCACGCCACCGCCGUCGUGAAUCACCAGAGACGCCGCUCGCCGCCGCCGCGAAUCCCCAGGGAUGUCGCUGCCACCGCCGCGGAUCCCCAAGGGCGUGGUCGCGUUGCCCUGAUUGGAGGAGACCCUGUCGGCCUUGCCUUGUUUGGAGGACUGUGUGCGUCAAUCCCGACCUCCGCUUUCCCCCUUUUCCAUCAAGGACCGCCGCCGCUGCUUCGUCUUCUAUCUCUGCGGAUCCCCAUCGGCACCUGCUGGAUGGUGCUCCGGGAACAGGGCCGCACGGAGGCCCUCCACCCGUAGGUUGUGCAGACGCGGCGCGCCUUGCAGCGGCUAUUCGGGAUGAGCGCGGGCGCGACAACCUUGUCCCAGUCGACGAUGGUGGCGGCGAAUGCCGGUGCUCCUUCUCGUCCUCUACCUCCAAGGACGCGCACCGGUAUAGCUCAGACACCCCCGUCCCCAAAUCCCGUCCACCCAUCCGGCGUUGUCCAGCUCAUCCUCACGCUCGUGGAUUCGCCUCCUCCUGUACGCGACACUUAAAACGUGGACGUGGUGAGCUUCCCCUCUCUCUACCCCCAAAUCUGGAUGGCACUAGCAUCUGUUACAUACAUACAUAUGGAUAAACAUCUUGGUUGGUUCUUUGGUUCAGUUUGUAUUCAGUCUGUAUGCGUCUGGAUGUGAAUGGCACUUGCAGUAUGCGGCUGCUCCUUGGUUGUCCAUUUGUAUGCGUCCAUAGGUAUGUAAACGGCCGCUCCUUGAUUGUUAUUUUGAACAGAACUCCCCCUUAAUUCUUCCUGUACUGAAAUGAAUCCUUGGAAGCUAGCACUACAUGUCUAUUGUUGCUGUCGUCUUGUACUACAUGGCUUUUUCCUAUUUAAUUUCAGUCAAGUUUAUGUGAAUAUAAUCUCCUUUGAUUUGAUGUUUUGGUCUGACUAUUUACAUUUUAAUUAUCAUGUACGUACUAAUGCAUUCUCAGAUAUUUGGUCGGUGUUAUCUUCUAAAAUAAUAGUAAAUGCAAUCGUUAAAUAGCAGUAGAAGAAGCAUGUCCGCAAACAGAAUUGUACAUUUUCGUUCCUUUGUAGAAGUGUAAUAGAUUAUUUCUUGAAAACACAAAGAUUUCAAGUAUAGCGUCAGAACAAAGAUACAAACUAUAAUUUCAACAUCCGGUAAAUGAUAUAUACAGCGAGUUGGGCGUGUCAAAUGUUGAUGCACAAACAGAAUACAUUGGAUUAAUUAUGUACUUUUUAGAACAGUUCGGAAUACAUAUUGGAAGAACAAAUUAUGUUAUGUUCCCGGCCCAUCUCUUUCUGCUAUCUUGCUGCUGCUGGACCUGGGAGUUUUAGUGGCUAAUAUAAUUUUGACAAUUUUGCUGCAAUAUCUUCAGUUUCUCUAUUGAUUCGGAUAAUUUUGCUGCUCCAAUAGUCUGAAGCAGAACCUCCAUCUUCUAUCUCAACGUCGGCAGCCCGACGGCGCCGACUCCUUAUCGACGCCCGUCGGCGGCCCGGUGAUGCGACCAGAUCACUGCAAAUUGCUCCAUUCAUGUCAGCAGCCUGAUCAGGUUUAUUGUAGAUUGGAGUUGUCCCUUCAGUCUUGAUCAAUAACCAGAUAUUGGCAAGCUUGAGUUAUCCAUGGAUGCAUGGAAAAGAUUAUUCAUUGUUGUGAUAUGCAUAUCUGUAGGAUUAAAUUCAUCUGAAUUAUGAGCUAUGUCACACUUUGCAGAGUACAGAGACUUCAGUUCACAUAAUCUGUUUGUACAUUUGUUGAUGUCAGGUGGAGGUGGUCGUGCUGGCGCCACUGUUUUGCUUCAUGCUGAUGCGGUAUAAAAGUGCCUCCUCGGCAGAUGAGGACCUGAGCGUGGCCAUGCUAAUGAGGAUGCAGGAUCCACCGCCACCGGCCAGUCCGAGUGCGUUGUUGUUUUCAUUCUUUGGGUCCUAGGGAUUUCGAAAUCAGGUGUUCGCCCCUGAUGAUUUCCCGGAGAUAAACUGAUUUCAUUGGCAUCAUCUAUUUCAUUGCCUCACCAAUAUCCAUGUGAGCCUGAGUUGUAAGUGAAUGUACAAAUUGUGUGGAUGUGUUCCUGCAGGUGAUUGCAGAGAACUUGGCAGGCAGAUCAAUUACGAGGAGGUCAAGGCUGAGCUAGAAUGGGGUGGGCGCCAACAUGAAGGAGCUGGAGAUAUCUCUAUUUUUGUCAGUCAUUAUUCAGGCUCUAAGCUUCCCCUUUCCCUAUACCACAUUACUUGAUAUUAUUAAAUUCAGUAUGCUUACUCAACUGUGAACAAGUUCAUGUGGUAAGUAGGAUCAACAAGAGUUGGCUGGCAACUGCUAUGUAUAUGUUAUUAUGGAUCAGCCAAGGUGGUUAAAUUUUAUUUUUUUCCUUUUUCUUAAUUUAUGCCCUUAAGUUUAUGCUGUUAAAUGCAUACACAUAACUUAGUUCCAGAUUUAACAAGAGUACAUUUUACAAUGAACUUCAUAGCUGAUGUUGAUCAUAAUUAGUAAGUGUACAAAGCAUUUCAAGGAAUUUCUGUUUUGUGCAUAUUGUAUAUUGCAGACUUGCAGUGAAGUAGUGCCAUCUAAGUACCAGAUGUAUGUUAUUUUCAAAUAAGCUUUUCUUAAAAUGGAAAAUACUAAAAAGCAAAUUGUGCCACACCGUGCAAUUAAGGUGCCUUUUACUGGAAACUCAAUGCAACUUCUUGUUAUUUUCAAAUAAGCUUUUCUUAAAAUGGAAAAUACUAAAAGGCAGAUUGUGCCACACCGUGCAAUUAAGGUGCCUUUUACUGGAAACUCAAUGCAACUUCUUGUUAUUCCUUCUGAACCUAGCAAUUAAGCCAUAUCUUGUUUUCACUCCUUCUGAACCUAGCAAAAUGACCUGCUUGGACCGAACGAGGACAGGUGUGUGGUGGUGGACAUAAGAUGCACGGCGAACAUUGAGCUACAGAAGAACAUUAUGAAAGGUAUGUACGGUAACUCCAUCCAUGCUUGGCCACACACCAACGUAUGUUUUCCACUGGUGCUAACCUAAACAAAUUCGUUUACUGUGAACUGAACAACGGUGCAUCGUGAUACAGAGGUUGGAGAGGCUGGAGGAGACCAUAUACCAACACAAAGCGCAUCUUGAUGGCCAUCAAUGAGGAGCUGGACCUGCUACACCAGGCUAAUUGCAAGCAUUGGGUACUUUUGUUAGCUAUCAAUUAAAUCUCUUGUCCUGCAAGAACAUGUGUUUAUUUAUGAAAACAUUUUACAUGAGCGUUGUAGGAUGAUUUGGAUGAGAUGACUGAUGAGGACAUGAGCGUUGUCGGAUGAUUUGGACGAGAGGACUGUAGCACGACGCAAUGAAGAGCCAGAUCGUCCGUCCGCUCCCAGCUCACUUCCCAGUUCUGUUGUGCUGCCCCGUGCACCAACCAUCCAGUAAAGGUUCUGAGGUUAACAUCUCUUUUGCAAGUUUCGUAUAACUUUCGUUGUCACUUUAUUAUCUAUUGAUCCACAUGUUUGUAUUUUAACAGACAUGAGUACUUUAUCAUCUUUCCAGGAAGAAAUUACUAGAGAGAAGAAAACUCAGUUUUACAAGUAGUGACAGUCCAACAUCAUAUUGACACAUCUGGUUUCUCUUUCCACAAGCAGGGUCGAGUGGGGUGAUAUACUAGGCGCUUUCUUCUAAAUUGUACAGAAAGUCCACUGAGUUAUUGUUGUUUGUAUGCCACCUUAGAGCGAAAUAGUACUUCUUUUAAUCAUUUUUUAGGUGAAAUACAAGCAUGUAGCUACCUCACUUAAUUAUUGUACUCACUUGAAGUUUAUGUUGAUACAAUGCACUAUUUAAGUAGUAGAGAAACCUCACAAAUUUAAAUUGAUGAAUGAUAUUUAGGAAAAGAAGUAGGCAUGUUUCAUUAUAAAGGGAAAGUCUUUUUCAAGGCAUAGUGUUUAAUUCAUGAAUGGUUAAACAGUUUAACGGGGACCAACACUGGGUAGCAGGGGAGUGGCAGUGCAUAGAGAUAUAGUGAGGGGAGCGGGGGCGAUGAUGGAGGCGGAGAUGUUUAGAGAGAGAUAUAGAGAGUGGGAGGUUCACCAUGGUGCAAUCGAAAACCAAGGCACACCUUGCUAAGACAAGCACACUUUAAAACAUAGCAAUACUCUGCAUUGUUUGAUGUUGGUAUCAGGACCAGGUACCAUGUGAAGCUCAAGGAAUGGUUGUAGAUCAUUAUGGAUAAACUAAAAAAAAAGAUCAUUAUGGAGUACAUUAUAAACGGCAUUUGGUGUCGGCGGCAUGUCACUACCACUGACAAAGUUCUCUGAAACACGAUUACUAUCAUGUACAAUGCUUUACAGUUCUCUCAUAUUCAAAUGCUAAAAUUCUGUAAUUUCAUAUUUAGUAGUUUCUGCGGUGUGAAAUUCAUGUUUUAUUUUGCUUGUGCAGUUGAAAAUAAAUGUUGGCAAAGAUAUUAAAAUUCAAAUCUGGCUUAUUUUUCUCAAUAUGGGUUCAGAAGGAAAUUGUCGUUGAGCUUCUAUCUAAAGGUAUGUCAGAUUAACAGGUUGCUAUCGCAACUCUUGAUUUGGAGUAAUGCAAAGCAACUGUGGAUCUUGUCGUCGGUACAUCUUGGGUUGUUGUUCUUCCAGAACGAAGGAUUUUUUUCCCUAGAUUGUGCUAUGAAAUAAUGCUUGUAUAACGCCUUGAUCUCUUGGCUACACCAUGCUUUCUGGAGAACACUAUACUUACAGAAGAAUGAUGCUUCUAUAGAAUGUGCCACCAUGAGUUCUGUCAGCUCUUUUAAUUUUGUGUUCACUAUGGACGAAUGAACCAUAUAAUUUGUCAAUUUGAUCAGUACUUGCUGAGUGCUUGCUUUCAUGUUGCAAUCUCAGAUUUAGGCACUUCAUAGCCAUAGAUUAAUUUUGAAUUGUUAUGCUCAGUACACCAAAUGUUGUUCCUAGGUAAUGCACUGUUUGCAACUAAGUUUUGUCUUUAAGCACCAAGGUGUAGUAGUAUGCAUUGAAAUAAAUGGAUCAUUUCUAUCUUUCUGGUGCUCAUAAUAGACUUUUUCAUUUUGAAUUUGUAUGCUUGAAAUUUGAUUAUUUCUAUCAACUGAGAGUGGAAAUGAACUGUACCGUAGGCACUUUUUCAUUAGAUUUCAGCAGCGGCUGAUGGCAGCAACCUCAUGGGCCACACAUCCCCUUCUUUAAUUGCAUGCCCUCACAAAAUGGAUGGGGACUUGGUUCUUUGGUUGUCGCCGCCGGACUCAGUGAAGGACGAAAAAUUGAGAUGAUCUAGUGGAGAAUAGAUGCCACGGGCUGAAGAAAGGAGGCGACGGUUUCAGAGCACACACCUUGAAGCGGAGAGGCGGCAAGGGAGUGCGUCUGGAUGGCAAGAGGGAGCGGGACAAGGCAACAUCACAUGGGAGGCAUGGUCAAAAUCGGCGCCGUAGGAGCAAUCGUGCGCGUGGGGGUCGUACCAGGGAGAAGGAAAAGGAUGGUCGGUUUUCUAGGGCUUUUUUCCUUGCAUCGGGAAAUGGGUUUGGUUGAAAAAAACGAUGAUGUGGGGAGGUUAUGCGAGUGGUGGAUACGUGGGUACCAUUUAAUGUACCAAGUGCGCUUUAAUAGUAGAGAUUAAGAUGUUGAUAUUUUAUUCAUUUUCUUCUUAGCUGAACAUUCUUUAAACCAAAAAUCUAUGAAACUUGUAAUGUAUCAUGGUCGCAAUUUGUGAAGUAGAACUAACUAUCCUUUGACCAAAUACCCUUUGACCAUUCAUCAAUUUUUAUGUACUUGUCGCCCGUGACAACAAAUAUGGAUCAAAUAACUAUGCACUAUGGGCACUAAUAUGUUUACCUUCAAAUGGGUUUGUUACUGUGUUUAGUUACUAUGAUGUUUCAUAUGUUCAUCAGAAAAAAUAAAGGCUUAUUUGCUUGCAUGUGCUUUCUCAUGUUUGUUUGUUUUUUCUUCUGGUUGUUCCUUUUCUAUAAUUGUCACAUAAAGUGAACCGAAACUCAUAUUCUAUAUUUCUGCUGUGUAGAUACCCGUGAGCCCGCUGUUGAACUCGCUAAAAAUGGAGAUAGACAUGGAUUUAACGGUUCUCAUUCAUUUAAAUCUUAGUGAAUUGAUACCAGUUUCCAUUUGGAACUGAGAUAACGAGGAAUCGUUUCCUUCAUGAUACUGCAUGUAUGAGCUUUUUUCUUUCGGUCUAGGCCAAUAUUGUACAAAGUUAUUUCCUAAAAUUAUAUUCGAAGGUGUCUUCUAUGAGAGUAACCAUCUCAAUCUUUUUUCUAUAGUUGUCACAAGGUUCUUGUGCUAAAGUAAAGUGAUUUUUGCUUGGUCAAUAUGUUUUCUUCUGAAUAUUUCAAGAAUGAAUUAGUUUAUGCUGCAGUAGUGAGUCACUGUUAAAAAUAGGGAGAAAGGUGUUAUAAGUGAAAAAUUAUGUAGUAUACUUUUAGCUUCCAAACAUUUGUACUUAUGUUCUAUGCCCAUUUUGAUUUGGACAAAUGUUUGGGAAUCACAGUGGUGAAAAGG